rnacentral:rRNA from 1 species
AAUGAACGCUGGUGGCGUGGAUUAGGCAUGCAAGUCGAACGCGAAAGUUCCCUUCGGGGAGCGAGUAGAGUGGCGAAAGGGUGAGUAAUGCUUGGAUGACCUGCCCUCGAGACGGGGACAACAGUUCGAAAGGACUGCUAAUACCCGAUAGUCCGGUUUAGAUGCGUCUAGAUCGGUAAAUGGUGCUUCCGCUCGAGGAGGGGUUCAAGUCCUAUCAGCUUGUUGGUGAGGUAACGGCUCACCAAGGCGAUGACGGGUAGCCGGACUGAGAGGUUGGCCGGCCACAUGGGAACUGAGACACUGUCCUGACUCCUACGGGAGGCUGCAGUCGAGAAUCUUCUGCAAUGGGCGAAAGCCUGACAGAGCGACGCCGCGUGGAGGAUGAAGGCCCUCGGGUCGGUAAACUACCUCGUCACAUGUUAUUGAAACGACACAGGUCGUACCUCGUGCGCUGACAAAA